UACGGAGUAUCCAAGCGUUAUCCGGAACCAUGGGGUUUAAAGGGUCCGUAGGCGGGAUAAUAAGUCAGUGGGGAAAGUCUGCAGCUUAACUGUAGAACUGCCAUUGAUACUGUUUUCCUUGAGUAAUUAUGAAGUGGUUAGAAUAUGUAGUGUAGCGGUGAAAUGCAUAGAUAUUACAUAGAAUACCGAUUGCGAAGGCAGAUCACUAAUAAUUUACUGACGCUGAUGGACGAAAGCGUAGGUAGCGAACAGG
rnacentral:misc_RNA from 1 species